CGAGUGAAGCGGCAACAGCUCAAAUUUGAAAGCUGGCCCCCCCGGGGGUCCGCGUUGUAAUUUGUAGAGGAUGAUUCGGCGAGGGCUCCCGCCUAAGUCCCCUGGAACGGGGCGUCAUAGAGGGUGAGAAUCCCGUAUGCGGUGGGCUGCCUUAGCCAUGUGAAUCUCCUUCGACGAGUCGAGUUGUUUGGGAAUGCAGCUCUAAAUGGGAGGUAAAUUUCUUCUAAAGCUAAAUACCGGCCAGAGACCGAUAGCGCACAAGUAGAGUGAUCGAAAGAUGAAAAGCACUUUGGAAAGAGAGUUAAAAAGUACGUGAAAUUGUUGAAAGGGAAGCGCUUGCAGCCAGACUUGUCCGCAGUUGCUCAGCCGGUCUCCUGACCGGCGCACUCUUCUGCGGCCAGGCCAGCAUCAGUUCGGGCGGUCGGAUAAAGGCCCCGGGAACGUAGCUCCUCUCGGGGAGUGUUAUAGCCCGGGGUGGAAUGCGGCCAGCCUGGACUGAGGAUCUCGCUUCGGCUAGGAUGCUGGCGUAAUGGCUGUAAGCGGCCCGUCUUGAAACACGGACCAAGGAGUCUAACAUCUAUGCGAGUGUUUGGGUGUCAAACCCAUGCGCGUAAUGAAAGUGAACGGAGGUGGGAACCCUCGCGGGUGCACCAUCGACCGAUCCUGAUGUCUUCGGAUGGAUUUGAGUAAGAGCAUAGCUGUUGGGACCCGAAAGAUGGUGAACUAUGCCUGAAUAGGGUGAAGCCAGAGGAAACUCUGGUGGAGGCUCGCAGCGGUUCUGACGUGCAAAUCGAUCGUCAAAUUUGGGUAUAGGGGCGAAAGACUAAUCGAACCAUCGACUACUAGGUGGUUAAGAGGUGGCUGAAAGUGCCCACCUAGUCCCCCCGUCCUCGGACGGGGGGGCGACAUCGCCAAAUUGCGGGGACUCCCUUAGAGCCUCUACUACCGCGGCCGGCCGAAAGGCGCGGUGCAGCACCGGGUUAAUUGCCUAGGGUACGGUAAAAAGGUAGAGGAUUGGGAAAUCCGCAGCCAAGCGCCUAAGUCCCGCGGGAUACGGCGAAGGUUCAGAGACUAGAUGGCGGUGGGUCCGGCCCGAGGGCCGGGCCUUAAGGUAUAGUCCAC
rnacentral:sRNA from 1 species